CACGUAGGGGGCGAGCGUUGUCCGGAUUUAUUGGGCGUAAAGAGCUCGUAGGCGGCUCAGUAAGUCAGGUGUGAAAACUCCAGGCUCAACCUGGAGACGCCACUUGAUACUGCUGUGGCUAGAGUCCGGUAGGGGAGCAUGGAAUUCCUGGUGUAGCGGUGAAAUGCGCAGAUAUCAGGAGGAACACCAGUGGCGGAAGGCGGUGCUCUGGGCCGGAACUGACGCUGAGGCGCGAAAGCGUGGGGAGCGAACAGG
rnacentral:rRNA from 1 species